CUGANUGANCACNCCGCGUGAGUGAUGAANGNUUUCNGGUCUNAAAACUCUGUUGUUAGGGACGAACAAGUACNAGAGUAACUGCUCGUACCUUGACCGUACCUAACCAGAAAGCCACGGCUAACUACNUGCCAGCAGCCGCGGUAAUACGUAGGUGGCAAGCGUUAUCCGGAAUUAUUGGGCGUAAAGCGCGCGCAGGCGGUUUCUUAANUCUGAUGUGAAAGCCCACGGCUCNNCCGUGGAGGGUCAUUGGAAACUGGGGAACUUGAGUGCANAAGAGAAAAGCGGAAUUCCACGUGUAGCGGUGAAAUGCGUAGANAUGUGGAGGAACACCUGUGGCGAAGGCGGCUUUUUGGUCUGUAACUGACGCUGAGGCGCGAAAGCGUGGGGAGCAAACAGGAUUAGAUACCCUGGUAGUCCACGCCNUAAACGAUGAUUGCUAAUUGUUAGAGGGUUUCCGCCCUUUAUUGCUGCACCUAACGCAU
rnacentral:rRNA from 1 species